rnacentral:rRNA from 1 species
AUAUCAGUCAUGCAUAGCAUAUCAAUAAGCGGAGGAAAAGAAACUAACAAGGAUUCCCUUAGUAACAGGCGAGUGAAGCGGGAAGAGCUCAAAUUUGAAAUCUUCAAGGUUUUACCUUGACGAAUUGUAGUUUAAAGAAGUGUUUUCUGUUGAAGUUUUGGUAAAAGUUCUUUGGAAUAGGACAUCAUAGAGGGUGAGAAUCCCGUAUUUGACCAUUACUUUCAGCUUUGUGAUACACUUUCAAAGAGUCGGAUUGUUUGGGAAUGCAGUCCAAAAUGGGUGGUAAAUUUCAUCUAAAGCUAAAUAUUGGCGAGAGACCGAUAGCGAACAAGUACCGUGAGGGAAAGAUGAAAAGAACUUUGAAAAGAGAGUUAAACAGUACGUGAAAUUGUCAAAAGGGAAGCGUUUGACACCAGUGUUGUUUUCUCGAAAAUCAAUUAAAAAGAGUUGGAUUUUGUGUUGUAUUGACUUUAUCAGCUUUCUUCACUCUUUUCCAGCUUUUUUUAAUGCACUUUUCGUUUAACAAGUCAACAUCAGUUUCUUUUGUUGUAAAAAGGUCAUUGGAAGGUGGCUUUCUCUUCGGAGAAAGUGUUUAUAGCCUUUGACUCAUGCAAUCGGAGAGACUGAGGUCUGCAGCGUAGAUCCUUCGGGGUUAGAUACAUUUGUGCUAAGUUAUAGCUUUUCAUAGACAGACUUGUUGACUAUGUUUAGUCUUGUAGCUUACUCGCUUAUGCUAUUUUACCUACGCUUAGGAUGUUGAACUCUAUCACACACAG